UGAGGAAUAUUGGUCAAUGGCCGAGAGGCUGAACCAGCCAAGUCGCGUGAGGGAAGACGGCCCUACGGGUUGUAAACCUCUUUUGUCGGGGAGCAAAGCGAGUCACGUGUGACUCAUUGAGAGUACCCGAAGAAAAAGCAUCGGCUAACUCCGUGCCAGCAGCCGCGGUAAUACGGAGGAUGCGAGCGUUAUCCGGAUUUAUUGGGUUUAAAGGGUGCGCAGGCGGAGGUGCAAGUCAGCGGUCAAAUUGCGGGGCUCAACCCCGUACUGCCGUUGAAACUGCAUCCCUUGAGUGCGCGAGAAGUAUGCGGAAUGCGUGGUGUAGCGGUGAAAUGCAUAGAUAUCACGCAGAACUCCGAUUGCGAAGGCAGCAUACCGGCGCGCAACUGACGCUCAUGCACGAAAGCGUGGGUAUCGAACAGG
rnacentral:rRNA from 1 species